GCUGGCGGCGUGCUUACACAUGCAGUCGAGCGGAAAGGCCCGCUUGCGGGUACUCGAGUGGCGAACAGGUGAGUAACACGUGGGCAACCUGCCCUCAGCUUUGGGAUAACACAAAGAAAUUUGUGCUAAUACCGAAUAUUGACCGACUCUCGCAUGGGGGUUGGUUGAAAGUUUUUCGGCUGGGGAUGGGCCCGCGGCCUAUCAGCUUGUUGGUGGGGUAAUGGCCUACCAAGGCGACGACGGGUAGCCGGCCUGAGAGGGCGACCGGCCACACUGGAACUGAGACACGGUCCAGACUCCUACGGGAGGCAGCAGUGGGGAAUAUUGCGCAAUGGGCGAAAGCCUGACGCAGCGACGCCGCGUGAGGGAUGAAGGUCUUCGGAUUGUAAACCUCUUUCAGCAGGGACGAAGCGCAAGUGACGGUACCUGCAGAAGAAGCACCGGCUAACUACGUGCCAGCAGCCGCGGUAAUACGUAGGGUGCAAGCGUUGUCCGGAAUUAUUGGGCGUAAAGAGCUCGUAGGCGGUUUGUCGCGUCGGUUGUGAAAGCCCGGGGCUCAACUCCGGGUCUGCAUUCGAUACGGGCAAACUAGAGUUCGGUAGGGGAGACUGGAACUCCUGGUGUA
rnacentral:rRNA from 1 species